UGGGACUGAAACACGGCCCAAACUCCAACGGGAGGCUGCAGUAGGGAAUCUUCCACAAUGGGCGAAAGCCUGAUGGAGCAACGCCGCGUGUGUGAUGAAGGCUUUCGGGUCGUAAAGCACUGUUGUAUGGGAAGAACAGCUAGAAUAGGAAAUGAUUUUAGUUUGACGGUACCAUACCAGAAAGGGACGGCUAAAUACGUGCCAGCAGCCGCGGUAAUACGUAUGUCCCGAGCGUUAUCCGGAUUUAUUGGGCGUAAAGCGAGCGCAGACGGUUUAUUAAGUCUGAUGUGAAAGCCCGGAGCUCAACUCCGGAAUGGCAUUGGAAACUGGUUAACUUGAGUGCAGUAGAGGUAAGUGGAACUCCAUGUGUAGCGGUGGAAUGCGUAGAUAUAUGGAAGAACACCAGUGGCGAAGGCGGCUUACUGGACUGCAACUGACGUUGA
rnacentral:rRNA from 1 species